rnacentral:rRNA from 1 species
ACAUCGCCUCUUGCAAAAUUAAUGAAUAAGAGGUCCCGCCUGCCCUGUGACUAUAAGUUUAACGGCCGCGGUAUUUUGACCGUGCGAAGGUAGCGCAAUCACUUGUCUUUUAAAUGGAGACCUGUAUGAAUGGCAUAACGAGGGCUUAGCUGUCUCCUCUUUCAAGUCAAUGAAAUUGAUCUCCCCGUGCAGAAGCGGGGAUAUACUCGUAAGACGAGAAGACCCUAUGGAGCUUUAGACACCAAAGCAGAUCAUGUUAAACACCCCCAAAUAAAGGGCCAAACCAGAUGAAACCUGCCCUAAUGUCUUUGGUUGGGGCGACCGCGGGGAAACACAAAACCCCCACGUGGAAUGGGACUACCCGUCCUACAGCAACAGAGCUCCCGCUCUCAGCAACAGAAUUUCUGACCAUUAAGAUCCGGCAAAGCCGAUCAACGGACCGAGUUACCCUAGGGAUAACAGCGCAAUCCUCUUUUAGAGCCCAUAUCGACAAGAGGGUUUACGACCUCGAUGUUGGAUCAGGACAUCCUAAUGGUGCAGCCGCUAUUAAGGGUUCGUUUGUUCAACGAUUAAAGUCCUAC